ACGGAAGGCAGCAGUGGGGAAUAUUGGUCAAUGGGGGAAACCCUGAACCAGCAACGCCGCGUGAAGGAUGAAGGUUUUCGGAUUGUAAACUUCUUUGACGAGGAACGAUAAUGACGGUACCUCGAAAACAAGCCACGGCUAACUACGUGCCAGCAGCCGCGGUAGUGCGUAGGUGGCGAGCGUUGUCCGGAUUUACUGGGUGUAAAGGGCGUGUAGGCGGAAUGGCAAGUCAGAUGUGUAAACCCGCGGCUUAACUGCGGGACUGCAUUUGAAACUGUUGUUCUUGAGUGCUGGAGAGGAAAGCGGAAUUCCCGGUGUAGCGGUGGAAUGCGUAGAUAUCGGGAAGAACACCAGUGGCGAAGGCGGCUUUCUGGACAGUAACUGACGCUGAGGCGCGAAAGCGUGGGGAGCAAACAGGAUUAGAUACCCUGUA
rnacentral:rRNA from 1 species